UACGGGGGGGGGCAAGCGUUGUUCGGAAUUACUGGGCGUAAAGGGCUCGUAGGCGGCCAACUCAGUCGGACGUGAAAUCCCUCGGCUUAACCGGGGAACUGCGUCCGAUACUGGAUGGCUUGAGUGUGGGAGAGGGAUGCGGAAUUCCAGGUGUAGCGGUGAAAUGCGUAGAUAUCUGGAGGAACACCGGUGGCGAAGGCGGCAUCCUGGACUACUACUGACGCUGAGGAGCGAAAGCCAGGGGAGCAAAGCGGG
rnacentral:rRNA from 1 species